AGUUAACCGAACAGUAUGUGUCAUAGUGUCCGCCUUUCAAAGCACGCUAUUUGUGGAUUGUAUUCGAAGGGCGUGGUUAAUCCAGAAACAUUGUUUUACUAUUGGCUAAUUAUUAUAAAGGAUAAAACUCCAUUUGCAUAAGCAGGUCAGGUUGCAGAUGCAGAGGAGUGGGUAGGGUAGGUGGAGCGCAAGUGAGCUGAACUUCUUGCGCUCUUCUUGUGAACCUUUUUUAAAUCCUACUUUAUUAAGAAACUGUUUAAUUAUAAACGUGACCCAUAGCAAUUUGUUUUACACGUUUUAAUAGAGCGAACCACUUGCUCUUGAUUGAUGCUGUUGUAUGGAAACUUGAGUGGGUUCCCGCACACCGCUGACUUUCUGAAGGCAGGUAAGCCACUGACUAACGCACACUGCGCCUGUUCUCCGCUCCACUGUGCGUGUGACAGCGGCUAACCAGCUUUUGGAUGCCUUCAACUUCACUUCAGCACAGAAAGAAAAGCCACUGGAGACUUGUUUAAUGGGUCUCACCGGAAACUGCUUCUCCUUUUCUGGGGGUAUUUACUGUGUAGCGCGUGUACGUGCUGCAGGUCACAUGUACAUCUACUCCAUCUAUAGACCAUCUAUACACCAUUUAUACGCCAUCUAUACUCCUCUGGACACUCACCAUCGCCAUUAGAAUACACCAGCUAUACUCAAUCUAUACUCCUGAACACUCACCAUCGCUAUUAGAAUGCGCCAUCUAUACUCCACUGUACACCAUCAUCGGAAUUCACCAUCUAUACUUUACUGUACAUCAUCACCAUUAGAAUACACAAUCUAUACUUCACUGUACACAAUCUCCAUUGGAAUACACCAUCGCCAUUAGAAUACAUCAUCUAUACUCCACUGUACACAAUCUCCAUUGGAAUACACCAUCGACAUUAGAAUACAUCAUCUAUACUCCACUGAACAUUAUCUCCAUUGGAAUACACCAUCUAUACACCAUCUCCAUUAGAUUACUCCAUGUAUACUCCACUGAACUCUGUCUUCGUUAGAUACUCCACUGAACACUCAAAAUCUCCAUUAGAAUACUCCAUCUGUACUCCACUGAACACUCACCAUCUCCAUUAGAAUACUCCACUGAACUCCUUCUCCAUUAGAACACUCCCUCUAUACUCCACUGUACACCAUCUCCGUUAGAAUACUCCAUCUAUACUCCACUGUACACCAUCUCAGUUAGAAUACUCCAUCUAUACUCCACUGUACACCAUCUCAGUUAGAAUACUCCAUCUAUACUCCACUAAACACUAACCAUCUCCAUUAGAAUACAUCAUCUAUACUUCACUGAACUCCAUCUCCAUUAGAAUACUACAUCUAUACUCUACUGAACACCAUCUCCAUUAGAAUGCUCCAUCUAUACUCCACUGAACUAACACCAUCUCAGUUAUAGUAGUCGUGUACAUAUCAAUUGACAUUUCAGCUGUUAAAUCUACGUAUAAGCAAUUAGUUUAUUCAGAUGAUGCCAUAUCUUGCUGCAUUAGAAUAACAUAGAUGUAAUCAUACGUGGCUACAGUAAUAUGGCUGAAAUGCAACCAUGCAUGCAAAAUUUAUUUUUUUAUAGUAGUGUGCCUUAUGUUAUCACAUUUGCAUUUCUGACAUUUAGCAGACACCGUUCUCCAGAGUGACUUACAAUUUGUUUCCAUUUAUACAACUGAGCACCAACUGGUUGAGGUUAAGGGCCUUGCUCAGGGGCCCUACAACAGUGGCAGCUUGGUGGACCUGGGAUUUGAACUUAUGACGUUCCUAUCUAUAGUCCAAAGCCUUAACCAUUAGGCUGCCACAUACCCCCAUACUUUACUACAGUAGUUAAGCAUACCAUUACCUUACUUUACUACUACUUUACUACUAGUAGUAGUAAAGUACUUUACUACUAGUAGUAAAGUCUAUGUUUGACCGUACUAUGCUUUAUUUAAGCCAACAUGUGACUUUUACCAUUUAACUUUAUUACUGUUUAUAUCCUGCAUGUAACCAUAGUUUACUGUUGUAUAACUUGCACCAAUCUAUUCCAAAACUUAUAUAAGUAGUAUAUAAACUAUAUGUGUUGACAGAUUAUUACUGUAAUAUAGACUACAUGUGACUAUACACCAUUAUAGAAUUUGUUUACGUAUUGCUGUACAUUAUAGUAUACAAUGUAGUCCAUUAUACUCCAGUGGUGACUGGUGUGGAUGCAGGUUUCCAUUCCAAUUUAAUCCAAUCCAUAAGUCACGCCUGAGUGUACUGAAAGCCAAGAUCAUCUAAAUAAGUUUAAUCAGAUGUAGCUUUGGCCAUUAUGGCUCAUCCUGGGAAAGUGUUUGUGUUAGCACAUACAUUAUUACAGUAAUGUAAACAUUGGGAUCCUAAAUUAUUGCAGUACAAAAGGCUCGAUUUGGCCACACCCUACUAAAGUAGAUUAAUGACUCUACGCUGUUACAGUAGCAUAUUUGUCUAUAUGUGACUAUACUUUGUACAGUAGCUAUAGCGAGUAAUGGUAUGUAAGGAGUGUAAGUAUGGGUGAGUCAGAGUUUAAGAAGUUAUGUCUUACAAUUGUUUGGCUUAAGUGUGGCCCUAAGCUGGUUAAUUAACUAUUAGUAGUAUGGUAGUGUAUAUACUACCUAUGGCCAUACCUGAUAUGUCUAUAACUGAACUAUAAUAUAACUUUCAUGUAGUUGUUAAAUAUUUUAUCUCUAAAGAUGUAAAGCUCAUGUAUUAUAGCAGUAUUGGGCCAUCCAAACAGUCCAGAAGUAUAGCUAACAUGAACGAACUUACAUGGGACUUAAAUAAAUAAUUUUAAUGUAAAAAGACUCAUUUUGAUUUGGGUAAAUGAUACUAAGUUGGCAAGAUAAAAUCUGUUCAACUGUUUAAUAAACAUGAAUGAACUGUG